UACGUAGGGGGCAAGCGUUGUCCGGAUUUAUUGGGCGUAAAGAGCUCGUAGGUGGUUCGGUAAGUCGGAUGUGAAAUCUCCAGGCUCAACCUGGAGGGGUCAUUCGAUACUGCCGUGACUAGAGUGUGGUAGGGGAGACUGGAAUUCCUGGUGUAGCGGUGGAAUGCGCAGAUAUCAGGAGGAACACCGAUGGCGAAGGCAGGUCUCUGGGCCAUUACUGACACUGAGAAGCGAAAGCAUGGGGAGCGAACAGG
rnacentral:rRNA from 1 species